rnacentral:tRNA from 1 species
GGGGAGUUUCCGGAGCGGUCAAACGGGGCAGACUGUAAAUCUGUUGGCUUACGCCUUCGGUGGUUCGAAUCCGCCACUCCCCACCA